CAUCGCCUUUUGAAUAUAAUUUAAGGUUUGACCUGCCCAAUGAGAAUUUAAAUGGCCGCGAUAUUUUGAUCGUGCGAAGGUAGCAUAAUCAUUAGUUUUUUAAUUGGAAGCUGGAAUGAAUGGUUGGACAAGGAAAUGACUGUCUCAAUUUUAUUUUAAUAGAAUUUUAUUUUUAAGUAAAAAAGCUUAAAUAAAGUUUAAAGACGAGAAGACCCUAUAGAGUUUGAUACUAAAUUUAUGAUUGAAUUAAGGAAUUAUUAUACUUUUAUAAUGUUUGUAUUUGGUUGGGGUGACAGAAAAAUUUAUUAAACUUUUUUUACUUAGAGAUGUUGAUAGACAGCUUAUUGAUCCAUUAUUAAUGAUUAUAAGAUUAAAUUACCUUAGGGAUAACAGCGUAAUCUUUUUUAAGAGUUCAAAUCGAAAAUAAGGAUUGCGACCUC
rnacentral:rRNA from 1 species